rnacentral:misc_RNA from 1 species
UCAAAGAAACGAAGCAGUAAAGAUUACUGCCUACGUAUCCUCUUAAGAUAUCUGGUGGCAAGCCGUUUAAGGGUUUGUAGCUCAGGUGGUUAGAGCGCACGCCUGAUAAGCGUGAGGUCGGAAGUUCAAGUCUUCCCAGACCCACCAAGACUGCAAGAGCAAGAUAAAGUUUGCUUUUAUGGUAAAUCGGGGGUAUAGCUCAGCUGGGAGAGCACCUGCUUUGCAAGCAGGGGGUCAGGAGUUCGAUCCUCCUUACCUCCACCAAGAUAUGGCAAGAAGAAAGAGUUACCUAAGCGAUUAGGUAAGGGCACGAGAGUGCGAGUUAUAAAGACAUUGUAAAUAAGAAGAAAAGAAACGAAUUAGAGUAAAAUCUAAGGAGAAAGUAGAAAAUACACCUUUUAAUAUGAAAUAUUAAAAACGGGUAAAUUUUACUGAGAGUAUAGAUGAGAUUCCAGGGAUGGGAGAUUAUUUAUACGUAAAGAAUCAAGCGAUAGGUAAGAGCAUUUGGCGAAUGCCUAGGCAAUCAGAGGCGAAGAAGGACGUGAUACACUGCGAAAAGCCGUGGGGAGCUGUGAAUAAGCAUUGAUCCGCGGAUGUC